UUUUCCCUGGGUGGUGCGUGAUCGUCACCGGAAUUGCUGAGCCAACGAGUACACUUUGGGACGCAGCUUUCAGUACGGCCCGUGUGCAAGCCCGCUAUGCGGGAAGCCUGACGGCCGAACAGCAGCGCCCGCUCUGAGCCUUCGGUUCAGAAUACGAGACGACACGGCUACUCGGGGUCCCA
rnacentral:other from 1 species